CACGUAGGGUGCGAGCGUUGUCCGGAAUUAUUGGGCGUAAAGAGCUCGUAGGCGGUGUGUCGCGUCGGCCGUGAAAACCUGGGGCUUAACUCUGGGCGUGCGGUCGAUACGGGCAUCACUGGAGUUCGGCAGGGGAGACUGGAAUUCCUGGUGUAGCGGUGAAAUGCGCAGAUAUCAGGAGGAACACCAGCGGCGAAGGCGGCGCUCUGGGCCGGAACUGACGCUGAGGAGCGAAAGCGUGGGUAGCAAACAGG
rnacentral:rRNA from 1 species